rnacentral:rRNA from 1 species
GGAUCGCAUUAUGGUCAUUUUAUAUGGCUGGCGAUAGAUCAUUCAAGUUUCUGACCUAUCAGCUUUCGACGGUAGUGUAUUGGACUACCGUGGCAGUGACGGGUAACGGGGAAUUAGGGUUCGAUUCCGGAGAGGGAGCCUGAGAAACGGCUACCACAUCUAAGGAAGGCAGCAGGCGCGCAAAUUACCCAAUCCUGACUCAGGGAGGUAGUGACAAGAAAUAACAACACUGGAAAUUUUAUUUCUAGUGAUUGGAAUGAUGGGAAUUUAAACCCCUUUCAGAGUAACAAUUGGAGGGCAAGUCUGGUGCCAGCAGCCGCGGUAAUUCCAGCUCCAAUAGCGUAUAUUAAAGUUGUUGCAGUUAAAAAGCUCGUAGUUGGAUGUCUGCUGGAAGCAAUCAGUCCGCCCUAUUUGUAGGGUGUGCACUUGAUGAAUUCUGGCAUCUAUAUCCCAAUAAUAUGAUGGUGUAUACCCUGUGUACACCCAUCUAUAUUGGGAUAAUACCGUUACUUUGAGAAAAUUAGAGUGUUUGAAGCAGGCUAAUUGCCUUGAAUACUGCAGCAUGGAAUAACAAUAUAGGAUUUCGGUUCUAUUUUGUUGGUUUCUAGGACUGAAAUAAUGAUUAAUAGGGACAGUUGGGGGCAUUCGUAUUUAACUGUCAGAGGUGAAAUUCUUAGAUUUGUUAAAGACGAACUACUGCGAAAGCAUUUGCCAAAGAUGUUUUCAUUAAUCAAGAACGAAAGUUAGGGGCUCGAAGACGAUCAGAUACCGUCGUAGUCUUAACCAUAAACUAUGCCGACUAGAGAUAGGAAAAUGUCAUUUUUCUGACUUCU